UACGAAGGUCCCGAGCGUUGUUCGGAAUCACUGGGCGUAAAGGGAGCGUAGGCGGCGCGGUAAGUCAGAUGUGAAAUCCCGGGGCUCAACCUCGGAACUGCAUCCGAUACUGCUGUGCUAGAGUAAUGGAGGGGUAGCUGGAAUUCUCGGUGUAGCAGUGAAAUGCGUAGAUAUCGAGAGGAACACUCGUGGCGAAAGCGAGCUACUGGACAUUUACUGACGCUGAGGCUCGAAGGCUAGGGGAGCAAAAGGG
rnacentral:rRNA from 1 species